UACGGGGGGGCAAGCGUUGUUCGGAAUUACUGGGCGUAAAGGGCUCGUAGGCGGCCAACUAAGUCAGACGUGAAAUCCCUCGGCUUAACCGGGGAACUGCAUCUGAUACUGGAUGGCUUGAGUUCGGGAGAGGGAUGCGGAAUUCCGGGUGUAGCGGUGAAAUGCGUAGAUAUCUGGAGGAACACCGGUGGCGAAGGCGGCAUCCUGGACCGACACUGACGCUGAGGAGCGAAAGCCAGGGGAGCAAAC
rnacentral:rRNA from 1 species